rnacentral:rRNA from 1 species
CCUACGGGUGGCUGCAGUGGGGGAUAUUGCACAAUGGGGGGAACCCUGAUGCAGCGACGCCGCGUGGGUGAAGAAGCGCCUCGGCGCGUAAAGCCCUGUCAGCAGGGAAGAAAAUGACGGUACCUGAAAAAGAAGCACCGGCUAAAUACGUGCCAGCAGCCGCGGUAAUACGUAGGGGGCAAGCGUUGUCCGGAUUUACGGGGUGGAAAGGGUGCGCAGACGGCGUUGCAAGCAAUGAGUUAAAGCCCGGGGGCCAACCCCGGGACUGCGCUUGGAACUGCGUGGCUGGAGUGCAGGAGGGGGAGGCGGAAUUCCUGGUGUAGCGGUGAAAUGCGUAGAUAUCAGGAGGAACACCGGUGGCGAAGGCGGCCUGCUGGACUGCAACUGACGUUGAGGCCCGAAAGCGUGGGGAGCAAACAGGAUUAGAUACCCCAGUAGUC